rnacentral:rRNA from 1 species
GACAGAGGAGGCAAGCGUUGUUCGGAAUUACUGGGCUUAAAGCGUGCGUAGGCGGUUGAUUAAGUCUGCUGUGAAAGCCCUGGGCUCAACCUGGGAACUGCAGUGGAUACUGGUCAGCUAGAGUGUGAUAGAGGAUGGUGGAAUUCCCGGUGUAGCGGUGAAAUGCGUAGAGAUCGGGAGGAACACCAGUGGCGAAGGCGGCCAUCUGGAUCAACACUGACGCUGAGGCACGAAAGCGUGGGGAGCAAACAGG